CCUACGGGGCCCAGCAGGCGCGAAACCUCCGCAAUGCACGCAAGUGCGACGGGGGGACCCCAAGUGCCACUCUUAACGGGGUGGCUUUUUUGGAGUGUAAAAAGCUCUAAGAAUAAGAGCUGGGCAAGACCGGUGCCAGCAGCCGCGGUAA
rnacentral:rRNA from 1 species